GAUGUUAGCGGCGGACGGGUGAGUAACACGUGGAUAACCUACCUAUAAGACUGGGAUAACUUCGGGAAACCGGAGCUAAUACCGGAUAAUAUUUUGAACCGCAUGGUUCAAAAGUGAAAGACGGUCUUGCUGUCACUUAUAGAUGGAUCCGCGCUGCAUUAGCUAGUUGGUAAGGUAACGGCUUACCAAGGCAACGAUGCAUAGCCGACCUGAGAGGGUGAUCGGCCACACUGGAACUGAGACACGGUCCAGACUCCUACGGGAGGCAGCAGUAGGGAAUCUUCCGCAAUGGGCGAAAGCCUGACGGAGCAACGCCGCGUGAGUGAUGAAGGUCUUCGGAUCGUAAAACUCUGUUAUUAGGGAAGAACAUAUGUGUAAGUAACUGUGCACAUCUUGACGGUACCUAAUCAGAAAGCCACGGCUAACUACGUGCCAGCAGCCGCGGUAAUACGUAGGUGGCAAGCGUUAUCCGGAAUUAUUGGGCGUAAAGCGCGCGUAGGCGGUUUUUUAAGUCUGAUGUGAAAGCCCACGGCUCAACCGUGGAGGGUCAUUGGAAACUGGAAAACUUGAGUGCAGAAGAGGAAAGUGGAAUUCCAUGUGUAGCGGUGAAAUGCGCAGAGAUAUGGAGGAACACCAGUGGCGAAGGCGACUUUCUGGUCUGUAACUGACGCUGAUGUGCGAAAGCGUGGGGAUCAAACAGGAUUAGAUACCCUGGUAGUCCACGCCGUAAACGAUGAGUGCUAAGUGUUAGGGGGUUUCCGCCCCUUAGUGCUGCAGCUAACGCAUUAAGCACUCCGCCUGGGGAGUACGACCGCAAGGUUGAAACUCAAAGGAAUUGACGGGGACCCGCACAAGCGGUGGAGCAUGUGGUUUAAUUCGAAGCAACGCGAAGAACCUUACCAAAUCUUGACAUCCUUUGACAACUCUAGAGAUAGAGCCUUCCCCUUCGGGGGACAAAGUGACAGGUGGUGCAUGGUUGUCGUCAGCUCGUGUCGUGAGAUGUUGGGUUAAGUCCCGCAACGAGCGCAACCCUUAAGCUUAGUUGCCAUCAUUAAGUUGGGCACUCUAAGUUGACUGCCGGUGACAAACCGGAGGAAGGUGGGGAUGACGUCAAAUCAUCAUGCCCCUUAUGAUUUGGGCUACACACGUGC
rnacentral:rRNA from 1 species